rnacentral:misc_RNA from 1 species
UCUCCGUUGGUGAACCAGCGGAGGGAUCAUUACAGAGUUUUCAGAACUCUCAACCCUUGCGAACCGUACCCAUUCUGUUGUCGUUGCUUCCGGCGGGGGGGACGGGGGGGCCCGAAACGGCCUCCCCGCCCCGCCCGCCGGGGGCGGCGUGCCCUAGCAACCCUUAUAUCUCAACCACCAGUAACUGUCUGAGAAAGCAAACAAAAUAAUCAAAACUUUCAACAACGGAUCUCUUGGCUCUG